GCCUGUGUGGCUCAGUGGUUGAGCAUUGAUCUAUAAAUCAAGAGGUCAAGGUUCGAUUCCUGGUCCGGGCA
rfam:Myotis brandtii contig226523, whole genome shotgun sequence.